rnacentral:rRNA from 1 species
AGAGUUUGAUCAUGGCUCAGAACGAACGUUAGCGGUGUGGAUUAGGCAUGCAAGUCGAGCGUGAAAGUGCCUUCGGGUACAAGUAAAGCGGCGAACGGGUGAGUAACACGUAAUCAACCUACCCCCGAGACUGGAAUAACCACGGGAAACCGUGGGUAAUGCCAGAUGCCCACUUCGAAAGGCAUCUUUUGAAGUGGAAACGGUGGCUUCGGCCAUUGCUUGGGGAGGGGAUUGCGGCCUAUCAGCUUGUUGGUGGGGUAAUGGCCUACCAAGGCGACGACGGGUAGCGGGUCUGAGAGGAUGGUCCGUCACACUGGGACUGAGACACUGCCCAGACUCCUACGGGAGGCUGCAGUCGAGAAUCUUCCGCAAUGGGCGAAAGCCUGACGGAGCGACACCGCGUGCAGGAUGAAGGCCCUAGGGUCGUAAACUGCUGUCACGCCCUAGGAAAGCUGCUCGGUUAAUACCCGUGCGGUUGACCAAGGCGAAAGGAAGCACCGGCUAACUCCGUGCCAGCAGCCGCGGUAAUACGGAGGGUGCAAACGUUGUUCGGAAUCACUGGGCAUAAAGAGCACGUAGGCUGCCUAGCCAGUCUGGUGUGAAAGCCCCCGGCUCAACCGGGGAACUACAUCGGAUACUACUAGGCUCGAGGACGGCACGGGUGAGUGGAAACUUCAGUGGAGCGGUGAAAUGCGUAGAUAUCUGAGGACACGGGUGGCGAAAGCGGCUCACUGGGCCGUCCUGACGCUGAGUGCGAAAGCUAGGGGAGCAAACGGGAUUAGAUACCCCGGUAGUCCUAGCCGUAAACGAUGGGCACUAGAUAGGGGAGGCGCCUAUGGUCUUCUCUGUCGUAGCUAAUGUGUUAAGUGCCCCGCCUGGGGAGUACGCUCGCAGGGGUAAAACUCAAAGGAAUUGACGGGGGAUCACACAAGCGGUGGAGCAUGUGGUUUAAUUCGAAGCAACGCGAAGAACCUUACCCGGCCUUGACAUGCAUGGAUUAGCUCCUUGAAAGGGGAGUGACGCCUCUUCGGAGGUGGAACAUGUGCAGGUGUUGCAUGGCUGUCGUCAGCUCGUGUCGUGAGAUGUUGGGUUAAGUCCCGUAACGAGCGCAACCCUUAUCGUUAGUUGCCAGCGCGUAAUGGCGGGGACUCUAGCGAGACUGCCGUUGUCAAAACGGAGGAAGGUGGGGACGACGUCAAGUCAUCAUGGCCCUUAUGGCCGGGGCGACACACGUGCUACAAUGGUCCGUACAAAGGGUUCCGAGGCCGCAAGGUGGAGGCAAUCCCAGAAAGCGGGCCCCAGUUCGGAUUGCAGGCUGCAAUUCGCCUGCAUGAAGCCGGAAUCGCUAGUAAUCGCGUAUCAGCCAUGACGCGGUGAAUAUGUUCCUGAUCCUUGUACACACUGCCCGUCAAGCCACGAAAGCGGGGAGCGCUCGAAGUCGCUUUGUCUAACCUUCGGGAGGACGGUGCCGAAAGCGAGCUCCGUGAUUGGGACUAAGUCGUAACAAGGUAACCGUA